UACUAAGGCGAUCGAGAGAAUCAUGGUUAAGGAACUCGGCAAAAUGCCCCCGUAACUUCGGAAGAAGGGGGGCCUGCCCCGUGAACCACCCUUGCGGUGGGGAGGCGGGUGUGGGCCGCAGAGACCAGGGGGAAGCGACUGUUUACUAAAAACACAGGUCCGUGCGAAGUCGCAAGACGAUGUAUACGGACUGACUCCUGCCCGGUGCUGGAAGGUUAAGAGGACCGGUUAGCACACUUGUGUGCGAAGCUGAGAAUUUAAGCCCCAGUAAACGGCGGUGGUAACUAUAACCAUCCUAAGGUAGCGAAAUUCCUUGUCGGGUAAGUUCCGACCUGCACGAAUGGAGUAACGACUUCCCCGCUGUCUCAACCAUGAACUCGGCGAAAUUGCAGUACGAGUAAAGAUGCUCGUUACGCGCAGCAGGACGGAAAGACCCCGAGACCUUUACUAUAGUUUGGUAUUGGUGUUCGGUGCAGCUUGUGUAGGAUAGGUGGGAGACUGUGAAGCUCGGACGCUAGUUCGGGUGGAGUCAUCGUUGAAAUACCACUCUGGCUGUACCGGUCACCUAACUUCGGACCAUGAUCUGGUUCAGGGACAGUGCCUGAUGGGUAGUUUAACUGGGGCGGUUGCCUCCUAAAAUGUAACGGAGGCGCCCAAAGGUUCCCUCAGCCUGGUUGGCAAUCAGGUGUUGAGUGUAAGUGCACAAGGGAGCUUGACUGUGAGAGUGACAGCUCGAGCAGGGACGAAAGUCGGGACUAGUGAUCCGGCGGCACCUCGUGGAAGGGCCGUCGCUCAACGGAUAAAAGGUACCUCGGGGAUAACAGGCUGAUCUUGCCCAAGAGUCCAUAUCGACGGCAUGGUUUGGCACCUCGAUGUCGGCUCGUCGCAUCCUGGGGCUGGAGUAGGUCCCAAGGGUUGGGCUGUUCGCCCAUUAAAGCGGUACGCGAGCUGGGUUUAGAACGUCGUGAGACAGUUCGGUCCCUAUCCGCUGCGCGCGUUGGAAAUUUGAGAAGGGCUGUCCUUAGUACGAGAGGACCGGGACGGACGAACCUCUGGUGUGUCAGUUGUACUGCCAAGUGCAUCGCUGAUUAGCUACGUUUGGAAGGGAUAACCGCUGAAAGCAUCUAAGCGGGAAGCCUGCUUCGAGAUGAGAUUUCCAUCCACUUUGUGUGGGUGAGGCCCCCAGCUAGAUUACUGGGUUGAUAGGCAGGAUGUGGAAGCAAGGACCAAAGACUUGUGUAGCUGACCUGUACUAAUAGGCCGAUGGCUUACAACACAC
rnacentral:rRNA from 1 species